rnacentral:rRNA from 1 species
UACAGAGGGGGCAAGCGUUGUUCGGAAUUACUGGGCGUAAAGGGCGCGUAGGCGGCCCGCUAAGUCGAACGUGAAAUCCCCGAGCUCAACUCGGGAACUGCGUCCGAUACUGGUGGGCUUGAAUCCGGGAGAGGGAUGCGGAAUUCCAGGUGUAGCGGUGAAAUGCGUAGAUAUCUGGAGGAACACCGGUGGCGAAGGCGGCAUCCUGGACCGGCAUUGACGCUGAGACGCGAAAGCUAGGGGAGCGAACAGG